rnacentral:rRNA from 1 species
UACAGAGGGUGCAAGCGUUAUUCGGAAUCACUGGGCGUAAAGAGCUCGUAGGCGGUUAGUUAAGUCGAAUGUGAAAUCCCCAGGCUCAAUCUGGGAAGUGCAUUCGAUACUGGCUAGCUAGAGUGCAGGAGAGGACAGCGGAAUUCCAGGUGUAGAGGUGAAAUUCGUAGAUAUCUGGAGGAACAACAGCAGCGAAGGCGGCUGUCUGGACUGUCACUGACGCUGAGGAGCGAAAGCGUGGGGAGCAAACAGG